GCGGGUAAGUUGUCGUAGGGGUCCGGUCCGUGAGGGACUGCUAAGGAAGAGGCUGCAUGGCGCGGUAGUCCCCCGAGUGGAGGUCGGCUGCCCCUGGGAAACCAGAGAGUCGGAGGGAGUCCAUCUGGAGCGGCCAAGUAGGUCGGGGAAGGGCCGCGCCUGACGUCUGGCCCCGCAGGUAGCCACGUUCCCUCCGCCCCCGGUGCAGCUUCAGGGCUUGCACCCUGCGUCCCUCUGUGGUCCCUCGAGAGGGUCUGGGCGGGGACUAUGGGUGGUCGCGCCCAGGAGUUGUCCCUUCGGCCGCUCGUCCUGCCCCUCCCCCCCACCAUCCAGUCUCUCCUUGGAAUAUACUCUUAAAAUCUUUCAGAUGGAGUUCUUUGGAGAAAUCGGUUUCCUGGAGUGUCAGGUGAUCAUUGAUGUUGAUUGUUUCUGAAAUGUUUAUUUAGGCAUCAAACCAACAUGCCUAAAUAAGUUUAUUUUCAUUUCUGCAGCGCCUAGAUUCAUUCCUAGCACAUAGUAGGCCCUAACUCAGAUGUGAAUGUAGAAUUCGCAGGAGCUGAGCAUUUGUGCUUCAGGCAUCAAGUUGUCUUUGACUCUUCGACUUUUCCUUGGUCUUUUUCCAUUCUCCACACCUCCAGCAGCAAACCUUUCGCCUCUCCUCAAGGCCCUUCCCCCGAUCUCCCUCAGCGCCUCUUUGACUGGAGGGGGACAGAGGCUUUCAUGGCAGGGAUUCUCCCAUCUCCCUUCCUAUCCCCGCUAUGCCCUCCAAUUAUCUUUUCCUGGCGUUCCGUUUUACAAGAGAUGGCCUUCUUUCCAAAAACGUUUAUAUUGUAUUGAAUAUUCUUGAUUUUGGCCAUCUUGCUUUACAGACAGACCUGGGGUCUAAUUUCAGCUCUGCCACUUACCAGCUGGUUGCCUUGUGCAAAUUUCUUGAUCGUCUGUGUUUUCCUCAUCUGUAAAAUGGGAAAAAGAAUAAUAUGGACCUCAUAGAACUCUGGGGAGGAUUUAAACUAAGUGAAUAAUGUAUUUAGACCAUUUAGUUUAGUGCCUGGAACAUAGUAAAUGUGCCGUAUAUGAUAACUUUUGUUAGUAUUUGCCCCUUACCUCUUCUUCUGGGGUCUUGCUGUAAGACCCAUGAGUGUAAAAAUACACUGUCUUCUCUGGCUUUUUCCUGUUUUUUUCUACAAAUGCUUGUGUUUUUCUCUAGAUUUUAUUUUUUGUAUUUUAGCGUCUACAUUAAGGACACAUUCUCAGUUUUGUAGUGAUUUUUUCUUUUUUCCUUUUUUUUUUUUUUUUUGAGACUAUAGCCCAGGCUGGAGUCCAAUGGCAAGAUCUCGGCUUACUACAGGUUUGACCUCCUGGGCUCAAGCAAUCCUCCCACCUCAGCCUUCCAAGUAGCUGGAACUACAGGUGGUGACUUUCAAAAGGAAAUAGGAUCAUGGCAGCAGAUGAUGACAAUGGUGAUGGAACAAGUUUAUUUGAUGUCUUUUCCGCUUCUCCUCUUAAGAACAAUGAUGAAGGCUCAUUGGACAUAUACGCUGGCUUGGACAGUGCUGUUUCUGACAGUGCUUCCAAAUCCUGUGUACCAUCAAGAAAUUGUUUGGACUUAUAUGAAGAGAUCCUGACUGAAGAGGGAACUGCAAAGGAGGCAACAUAUAAUGAUUUGCAAGUAGAAUAUGGAAAAUGUCAACUACAAAUGAAAGAGCUGAUGAAAAAGUUUAAAGAAAUACAGACACAGAAUUUCAGCUUAAUAAACGAAAACCAGUCUCUUAAGAAGAAUAUUUCAGCACUUAUCAAAACUGCCAGAGUGGAAAUAAACCGCAAGGAUGAAGAAAUAAGUAAUCUUCACCAAAGGUAUUACUGAGCGAUGUAGCUGUUAUAAAUUUCGUGGGUAUUGAUAUGUGGAAUAUUUUUAACUUUGAGAGGAAAGAUGAAAAUAAUGUAUUUUAUUUAUUUUUAUUUAUUUUUAUUUUUUUUUAGAGACAGGGUCUCAUUUUGUCAC
rnacentral:sRNA from 1 species